AGACCCGAAACCCGGUGAUCUAGCCAUGGGCAGGUUGAAGGUUGGGUAACACUAACUGGAGGACCGAACCGACUAAUGUUGAAAAAUUAGCGGAUGACCUGUGGCUGGGGGUGAAAGGCCAAUCAAACCGGGAGAUAGCUGGUUCUCCCCGAAAGCUAUUUAGGUAGCGCCUCGUGAAUUCAUCUCCGGGGGUAGAGCACUGUUUCGGCUAGGGGGCCAUCCCGGCUUACCAACCCGAUGCAAACUGCGAAUACCGGAGAAUGUUAUCACGGGAGACACACGGCGGGUGCUAACGUCCGUCGUGAAGAGGGAAACAACCCAGACCGCCAGCUAAGGUCCCAAAGUCAUGGUUAAGUGGGAAACGAUGUGGGAAGGCCCAGACAGCCAGGAUGUUGGCUUAGAAGCAGCCAUCAUUUAAAGAAAGCGUAAUAGCUCACUGGUCGAGUCGGCCUGCGCGGAAGAUGUAACGGGGCUAAACCAUGCACCGAAGCUGCGGCAGCGAACGUAUCACUUAAAGCGAUUCAGCGGGUUACGAUUGACGGAGCGAAGCGACGUCAAAGCGUAUACAAAGUCGAGUCGGUUUAAGGAUACGUUCGUUGGGUAGGGGAGCGUUCUGUAAGCCUGUGAAGGUGUGUCGUGAGGCAUGCUGGAGGUAUCAGAAGUGCGAAUGCUGACAUAAGUAACGAUAAAGCGGGUGAAAAGCCCGCUCGCCGGAAGACCAAGGGUUCCUGUCCAACGUUAAUCGGGGCAGGGUGAGUCGACCCCUAAGGCGAGGCCGAAAGGCGUAGUCGAUGGGAA
rnacentral:rRNA from 1 species